GGUUCUCAAGCUCAUUUGGUAUGAGCCGUCGCCUCAUAAGCGAAAGGUAGGUAGGUUCGAAUCCUCCGGGAGCCACCA
rnacentral:tRNA from 38 species